GUAGGGAAUAUUGGGCAAUGGUCGGAAGACUGACCCAGCCAUGCCGCGUGCAGGAAGACGGCCUUCUGGGUUGUAAACUGCUUUUAUCUGGGAAGAAAAAGGCCAUGCGUGGCAAAUUGCCGGUACCAGAUGAAUAAGCACCGGCUAACUCCGUGCCAGCAGCCGCGGUAAUACGGAGGGUGCAAGCGUUGUCCGGAUUUAUUGGGUUUAAAGGGUGCGUAGGCGGCUGAUUAAGUCAGCGGUGAAAGACUCCGGCUCAACCGGGGCAGUGCCGUUGAUACUGGUCAGCUUGAGUGCUGCAGGGGUACAUGGAAUUGAUGAUGUAGCGGUGAAAUGCAUAGAUAUCAUCAGGAACACCGAUAGCGAAGGCAUUGUACUGGGCAGCAACUGACGCUGAGGCACGAAAGUGUGGGGAUCGAACAGGAUUAGAUACCCCAGUAGUCC
rnacentral:rRNA from 1 species